GGAGGGUGCGAGCGUUGUUCGGAAUCACUGGGCGUAAAGGGCGUGUAGGCGGUCCGCUAAGUCUGAUGUGAAAGCCCGGGGCUCACCCCCGGAAGUGCAUUGGAAACUGGCGGACUCGAGUCCCGGAGAGGAGAGUGGAAUUCCUGGUGUAGCGGUGAAAUGCGUAGAUAUCAGGAGGAACACCGGUGGCGAAGGCGGCUCUCUGGACGGUGACUGACGCUGAGACGCGAAAGCGUGGGGAGCAAACAGGAUUAGAUACCCUGGUAGUCCACGCUGUAAACGAUGAGCACUAGGUGUCGUGGGUAUUGACCCCCGCGGUGCCGUAGCUAACGCAUUAAGUGCUCCGCCUGGGGACUACGGCCGCAAGGUUAAA
rnacentral:rRNA from 1 species